UCCUCUGCUCAGUCUUUAUUUCUUCUUCUCGGCGACACUUUAAAAAAAUAGCAUGCUCUAUCAUGUGCUAUUCUUAGAACUAGUCCUCGUACAUCACAAAUCAUAAGACUUUUACUCCACAUCAUACCAUUUCCAUAAUCGUCAUAACUCAAUGUCUAAGACAUCACUCAUGCCUAUCAUCGUUACAUCAGAACAAUAAAUCAAAGCUCUGCUAUAGUAUAAAGACCCUCUGGUCAAUCGUCAUAUACAUAAGGGAAAAAAAAA
rnacentral:lncRNA from 1 species